AGUAUGAAAAUUGGUGAUUUAUAAUAACUUAGCAAAUCGCAAAGUGAAAACAGGCGAUAAAUCAUUCAAGUUUCUGACCUAUCAGCUUUCGACGGUAUGGUAUUGGCUUACCGUGGCAGUGACGGUUAACGGGGGAUUAGGGUUCGAUUCCGGAGAGGGAGCCUGAGAAACGGCUACCACAUCUAAGGAAGGCAGCAGGCGCGCAAAUUACCCAAUUCUAACAGUUUGAGAGAGGUAGUAACAAGAAAUAACAAUACAAGGCAGUUAAAAUGCUUUGUAAUUGGAAUGAUAGAAAUUUAAACCCUUUUUAAAGUAUCAAUUGGAGGGCAAGUCUGGUGCCAGCAGCCGCGGUAAUUCCAGCUCCAAUAGCGUAUAUUAAAAUUGUUGCAGUUAAAAAGCUCGUAGUUGAAGUUCUGCUGAAAGUAACCGGUCUGCUUUUAAUAAAAGUGGUAUCUUGGUAUGUAUUUAGCAAUGAUGUCCUUUGAAGUGUUUUUUACUUUAUUGUAAUAAAGCAUAUUCAGGACUUUUACUUUGAGAAAAUUAGAGUGUUUCUAGCAGGCUGACGCUUUGAAUACUGCAGCAUGGAAUAAUAAGA
rnacentral:rRNA from 1 species